GCGGCGACGGCGUGGCGGCCGUAAGUCCGCAGCGCCUGUUCAGCGUAAGCGGACGACUGCUGGAGCACCUGCGCGCCCGGCUCCGCGUAAAAGCCGUGCACCGAAGGAACCGUGGCUGGAUAGAGGCCCUGCACAACGGGGGGCGAGGCAGACGGGGACGGCGGCCUCCAGAAGCCUUCAUAGUCCGGCGAGGACGCGCACGGACUGCCUGCGCAGCUUGACGGGGACUUGGGAGAGGAGUCAGCCGCCUUCGGACCGAGGCAACCCAGAGAGAGAGACGACGCGUCCGCGGUCACCACCGCUUCCUCUGCGGGAAAGCUCCACGCGGAACCGGACGGGUCCGCACGAGGAUACCCACCACCAUCACGCCAAGGACCUACUCCGCCACCAAUGCAAAUAGUCAUUUGGGCAGUUUUCAAUAAUUCUCCAAACGAAUCUAAAAGUAAUAAUUUGCUCACGACUAUAACUAAAGAAAAGAAAUGUUUUUUUCCCUCUGUCAUUAAGGUCAGAUUUUCUUUUAUCCCGAUAAUAUGCUGUAAUUGUGCGGAGACGCAGGGCUAUUUAGUACUAAUGUUUAUUUUAACAUAACAAUACAACAGUAUUUUAUUUUAUUGUUUUAAUAAAAACCUCGUAAAGGUGUUUAAUUAUAAAACAAUUAAAUGGAGGUUUGAAAACGUCAUCUUUUCGCUUCAGUGUCAAGAGACUACAUUUUUGUAACAUCACAACAGAAAAAUACAAUUUGUCAUAUUUUAACGUAUAAGAGUAAGAACGUUAGAAUCGA